rnacentral:misc_RNA from 1 species
UAUUUUGAUUUUUGUUAUGUUUAUUAUAUAUAAAAAGAGUAAUAUCUGUGAAAUUGAUUCCAACUUCAUUUUAGAAACAAGAAAUUUAAGAAAAAUCAAAAUAAUUAAUUCUUUAGACUGCGAAACAGGUCAGUCUGAAAAGGAAAAAUGUCUAAGCACCUAAACUAUUAGACGUAAUACGAAAGCAGUGCACCUGUUGCCUCUAGAAACUAAUUCUACAUAACCCCUACCAAAAUACCCUAAAAAAAAGAGAAGGAAGAGACCUGAGACCUUUCAUAAAAACCACCAAAGAUUUGUACAAAGUUCCUACUACCUCAAAACUCAAUUAUAAUUUGCACAAUGGUUGGAAAGGGAGGAUCAUUUAUAGGUCACCAGCACGGAGUUGAUGACAUGCAAGAGAACACGGAUGGUUGAGAGCUCAACACCAGUGAUCGUAGGUGAGCUCCGUUGAUGGUGUAGGAUCUGAGAUACUUGAUCAAAGAUAGGCCGCACGUGCAUUGCAAUCAUAUGGUCUGCUGGGUUUAUGGGCGCCUGCCACAUCUGUCAUCCACACCAGCUUUCGAGCUGUAUCCUUGCUAACAUCACAGGCCAA